CGCAGCAAGGGCCAGACUCUGCGCUAGCAGGCGCUGCGCGCCAACCGGCCGGCACCUGUCGCAGAAGGUGCAACCGAUCGCACUGUCGCGCAGAAGCUCCUCAAUGGCCAGCGCCAGCUGCAGCCCCGGCCGCCCACUCGCCUCAUCUGAGCCUGGGCAAAUCUGGAUUGGGAAAGUUGACAUUAAUCAACUCAUUAUUCCUCACAGAUUUGUAUUCUCCAGAGUAUCCAGGUCCUUCUCAGAGAAUUAAAAAGCCUGUACAGGUCUAGAUAUUGGUAUUUUUAAUUGAUGAUAAGCUGGAAUAAUAUUAAUACACACAAAGCACGUGUUGUAACUUUCAUUAUGCUUCCUUAGAGCGCUGCUCUAAGCUGUUGAUGAAAAAUAUUGUUGGUGAGCUCUGCUUAGGUAAUAUAUAGGACAUGAGCAGAGAGGAGGCACGUGAACAGUUCUGGCCUGGAGUAGGCUUCAUUGAGGCUGUGAUGCUUUUAGCUGGAUUUGAAGAAGUGGUAGUGAUCAUCCCAGUGCACAGGAUAGGUGGACAGUCUAUGUAUUCUGAGCAGUAACUCAUAUAUCUCAUACUGCAAGACCCCAAAGGAGUAAUUUUGUGAACUCUGUUCACGGAAAGGGCCUGGGAGCUGCAACACCUCAACAGCAACAAGCACACCUGCUACCUAGAACUUGGUUUCUAAAAACCAUCCUCCUCUAAAAGGAAACAGAGCUCUUUGAAGAAACGAGACAGAUCUCAUUAUGUUGCCCAGGGUGAUCCUUGAUCUCCUGGCCUCAAGUGAUCCUCCAACCUUGGUCUCCCAAAGUGCUGGGAUUACAGAUGUGAACUACCACACCCAGUCAACGUGCAGAAGGUUUUCAGUUUGAUGUAGUCUGAUGUAGUCUCAUGUAUUUAUCCUUCUUGUUGUUGCCUGAGCUUUUGGUGUGAUAUCCAAAAAUAUCAUUGCCAAGAUCAAUAUCAAGAAACUUUCCCCCUAUGUUUCUUACAGAAAUUUUAUGGUUUCAGAUUUUUCAUCCAUUUUGAGUAUAUUUGUGUGUAUGAUGUAAGAUAAGGGUCCAGUCUCCCCAGUGUUGGAUAUCCAAUUUUCAUAACACCAUUUAUUGAAGAGAUUAUUCUUUCUCCACUGUGUUUUCUUGAUGUCCUUGUCAAAAAUUAGUUGACUUUUAUAUGCUUGGGUUUAUUUCUGGGCUCUAUUCUGUU
rnacentral:lncRNA from 1 species